rnacentral:rRNA from 1 species
GUAGGGAAUAUUGGGCAAUGGACGGAAGUCUGACCCAGCCAUGCCGCGUGCAGGAAGAAGGCGUUAUGCGUUGUAAACUGCUUUUUUAUAGGAAGAAGGAGACCUUGCGAGGUUUGGUGACGGUACUAUAAGAAUAAGCACCGGCUAACUCCGUGCCAGCAGCCGCGGUAAUACGGAGGGUGCGAGCGUUGUCCGGAUUUAUUGGGUUUAAAGGGUGCGUAGGCGGUUUAUUAAGUCAGUGGUGAAAGACGGUCGCUCAACGAUUGCAGUGCCAUUGAUACUGGUAGACUUGAGUUCGUAUGAGGUAGCUGGAAUGGAUAGUGUAGCGGUGAAAUGCAUAGAUAUUAUCCAGAACUCCAAUUGCGUAGGCAGGUUACUAAUACGAUACUGACGCUGAUGCACGAAAGUGUGGGGAUCAAACAGGAUUAGAAACCCCGGUAGUCC